CACAUUGCCACGUGCAUUCUUUCACUUCUUUUUUUCACUCAAAAUGGACGGUCGAGUUUUCUGCUUUGAUUCUCAACUAAAAUUUAAUAAGAUGGAUGAUGUGCGGUAGCAGGAACAAUCUCUGAAAAUAGCAAUGGAAAAGAACAAUUUUCAAGGUUUUCUACCACAUUUAUCCACACGUGUCCAAAAAUUCCAUUUGAAAGUGUAUUAAAAUGCACAUGGCUUACGAGAAGAUAGACGGAAGCAAAAUAAGAUGAGCAGAAAAAGGUGCUCACGAAUGCCUGAGAAAUGGAAAUGUUUAGAACUAAAUUCAGAGAUCUUGGUUGGACUGCGUAACAAUAAUGGGCACAUCAGAAAAUGAGUAACAAAACUCCAAAUUGUUUUCAAUUGACCGAAAUAUGCAAUCCACUAAACCAUCUGGAUUUCUUCUCAGAACAAUGGCUACCAAUGGAAACUAGAAGUGCAGACGAAUUCGGGAUUAUAAGAAAUAUCUUGUUCUCUCGUUGUAUUGCACACGAAAAAUCGUUUUCCGGCUAUGUAGUUUGACGGCAAAGCAAGGAGAAAUGCGUAAAUAUCAUCAUAAAAUUUCAUGAAAAAAUGAUAUCUGCGCACUAAAUCAAUCAAGCUUUGAAGGAAUUUAGGUGAUUAGAAAGAUUCACAAAGAUAGGAACAUUUCCAAAUUAUACCCAGUGGAGGAUGCCUUAAAAAGUUUUAAGAUAUUCACACUUUCUGAAGUACACAAAUAGCAAUUGAUUUUUAGUACAAGAUACUCACACUUUCUGAAGUACAUAAACAUCAAUUGAUUUUUAGUACAAGGUAUGUUUUAUAUCAAUCAAUAUUGAACUCUACUUUUAUUUCUUGUGAUGACUUCGUAUACCGCCCCAGUCGGAGAAAUUAUGUCGAUUCGGAAUUACCUGAUACCUAAAUUCAUAUAUAAAUAUAUUUGUUGUUUGAUAUAUCUGUUUGCUAACACCUUUUUCUAUUAUUCUUACAGAUAUCUUAGGAUUGCCAGUGGAGCAGAAUAUUUACCCGUCAACCUUAUUAAGACUUCACCAUUUAUUGGAUCGAUCUUAUCGAGUUGCUAAAACAUCCAUUAACGUAGAAAUGCUUAAAAGGCUACCUGGCUUUAGGCUUUGUGAAUCAACUGAACUUUGUGGUAUCAUGCGGAUUGCGAAGAUCAAACACCUCACUCUGAACUCUGAAAACCAAACUGUUGUAGUCAUUUGAAGAAAUAAAAACUCAAGAGAUACUGUUUAAUAUAA
rnacentral:sRNA from 1 species